AAGGCUUUAAGUUAAUAAAACUAAUAGCCUUCAAAGCUAUUUAUAUUAGUACAAAUCUUUUAAGCCUUA
rnacentral:tRNA from 1 species